UGAAUACGAGACGCUAUGCGUCGAAGUAGUGUAUAUCAGACUUCCAAGAAAAGCUUGCACUGUCAUAGAUAAAAAAUGCCUGUACCAUAACCGACACAGGUGGGUAGGUAGAGUAUACUAAGGGGCGCGAGAUAACUCUCUCUAAGGAACUCGGCAAAAUAACUCCGUAACUUCGGGAGAAGGAGUGCCUUAUUUAUAAGGUUGCAAUAACAAGAUCCAAGCAACUGUUUAUCAAAAACACAGGUCUCCGCUAAGUCGUAAGACGAUGUAUGGGGGCUGACGCCUGCCCAGUGCCAGAAGGUUAAAGAAGUUGGUUAGCAAUUGCGAAGCUGAUAACUGAAGCCCUGGUGAACGGCGGCCGUAACAAUAACGGUCCUAAGGUAGCGAAAUUCCUUGUCGGGUAAGUUCCGACCCGCACGAAAGGCGUAAUGAUUUGGAUACUGUCUCGGAGAGGGGCUCGGUGAAAUAGACUUGUCUGUGAAGAUGCGGACUACCUGCACCAGGACAGAAAGACCCUAUGAAGCUUUACUGUAACUUGAAAUUGAAAUUGGACUUUAUUCGCGCAGCAUAGGUGGGAGGCGUUGAUUAUAAUCUUGCGGGAUUAUUGGAGCCAUCAGUGAGAUACCACUCUUGUAAUGUUAGAUUUCUAACUUUGAAUCAUUAUCUGGUCAAAGAACAGUUUCAGGCGGGCAGUUUGACUGGGGCGGUCGCCUCCUAAAUGGUAACGGAGGCGUACAAAGGUUUCCUCUGAACGGUUAGAAAUCGUAUCUAGAGUGUAAAGGCAUAAGGAAGCUUGACUGUGAGACCUACAAGUCGAGCAGGGACGAAAGUCGGUCUUAGUGAUCUGACGGUACUGAGUGGAAAGGCCGUCACUCAACGGAUAAAAGUUACUCUAGGAUAACAGGCUGAUCUCCCCCAAGAGUUCACAUCGACGGGGAGGUUUGGCACCUCGAUGUCGGCUCAUCGCAUCCUGGGGCGGUAGUACGUCCCAAGGGUUGGGCUGUUCGCCCAUGAAAUCGGUACGCGAGCUGGGUUCAGAACGUCGUGAGACAGUUCGGUCCAUAUCCGGUGUAGGCGUUAGAAUAUUGAGAGGAGCCUUCUUUAGUACGAGAGGACCGAGAAGGACAUACCUCUGGUGUACCAGUUAUCGUGCCAACGGUAAACGCUGGGUAGCUAUGUAUGGAGUGGAUAACCGCUGAAAGCAUCUAAGUGGGAAGCCCACCUCAAGAUAAGUAUUCUC
rnacentral:rRNA from 1 species